CCUACGGGUGGCUGCAGUGGGGAAUAUUGGACAAUGGGCGAAAGCCUGAUCCAGCCAUGCCGCGUGAGUGAUGAAGGCCCUAGGGUUGUAAAGCUCUUUCAGCGGGGAAGAUAAUGACGGUACCCGCAGAAGAAGCCCCGGCUAACUUCGUGCCAGCAGCCGCGGUAAUACGAAGGGGGCUAGCGUUGUUCGGAAUCACUGGGCGUAAAGCGCGUGUAGGCGGAUCGUUAAGUCGGGGGUGAAAUCCUGAGGCUCAACCUCAGAACUGCCUUCGAUACUGGCGAUCUUGGAGUCCGGGAGAGGUGAGUGGAACUCCUAGUGUAGAGGUGAAAUUCGUAGAUAUUAGGAAGAACACCAGUGGCGAAGGCGGCUCACUGGCCCGGUACUGACGCUGAUAUGCGAAAGCGUGGGGAGCAAACAGGAUUAGAUACCCCUGUAGUC
rnacentral:rRNA from 1 species